GUUAGAAACCCUGGACCCGGGAGGCGGCGGGAAGGGCCGAGGGGACCCGGGGCCACCCGGUGCGCAGAGGCAGAGGGGCCCCCAAAACCCGCAACGCGGGCCCCUCAGUCUGCGGGCCAAGCCCGGGGUUUCCCUCCAUUAAGAAGUCAGUUGGGCGUUUCUGCUGGCGUGGAGAGCGCUACCAGGUGCCCCCGGAUUUUGAUCGGGAGUCGCUUUUGCCUUUCCGUGGACAAGCCUUCCUCCGCCAGCAGAUGCCCCGGGCAGGAAGAGAAGCGGUGGGUGAGUGGAAAGGGCCUUGGUAUGGAAACGCAGAGACCGAAUUCCUUCUCAUCUGCCAGCUCCGUGGCCGUGGGCACAUUAUCUGUUUUCUUAGUCCGGCUCAUCGUUUCUUUCAAAAACCAUUUUGGACCCUUCUGGGAAGGCAAAGAAGAGAAGCAGAGUGGACUGUGAGCGGACAUAAACCACCCUGAUGGGUAUGAUUUCCAUUUUUGGCACGGGAGUCCGGAGAUUUUGUGACCCUCUCCAAGGACACACAGCAAUCCCUUGAGAGCCCCAAGACCAGAGUCCAGUUGCCAUGACAUUGCUGCCCUAUAACCACACUCUGGGUGAGCUUUUACUUCUGUGACAUGGAAUGUGCAUCUCCCUCUUCUAUAGCAACCCUCAUGAGAUUUCAGCUCAGAAAAUGCAAAAUGUCUGACACUGAAAAUCCAUCUUCGAAUGUCGUUAUAUCAGACCAGACACAGUAGUAUUCAGAAUCGCGUAGUAGGAUGGGGGUGUGAGAAGAGGUGUGAACUAGUCUAUAUGGAUUGCAGUCAAUUUUUUAAUUUUUUUUUUUUUGAGACAGAGUCUCGCUCUGUCACCAGGCUGGAGUGCAGUGGCGCUAUCUCGGC
rnacentral:lncRNA from 10 species